AUGUCGUCCGACGAGGAGGUCAGGGAGGAGAAGGAGCUCGACCUCUCCUCCAACGAGGUCGUCACCAAGUACAAGACCGCCGCCGAGAUCAUUAACAAGGCUCUGAAGUUGGUAUUGUCGGAGUGCAAGCCGAAAGCCAAGAUUGUUGACAUUUGUGAGAAGGGUGACAAUUUCAUAACAGAGCAAACUGGGAAUGUCUACAAGAACGUGAAGAGGAAGAUUGAAAGGGGCAUUGCUUUCCCGACAUGUGUAUCUGUGAACAACACCGUCUGUCAUUUCUCCCCACUGGCAACUGACGAUUCUGUACUCGAAGAAAAUGACAUGGUGAAGAUCGAUAUGGCUUGCCAUAUUGAUGGUUUUAUUGCUGUGGUGGCUCAUACACAUGUAAUCAAAGCUGGGCCGGUUACUGGAAGAGCAGCUAAUGUUCUUGCUGCUGCAAACACAGCAGCAGAAGUUGCAAUGAGGCUUGUUAGACCUGGCAAGAAGAAUAAGGAUGUCACUGAAGCAAUUCAGAAAGUUGCUGCUGCUUAUGAUUGUAAAAUUGUUGAAGGAGUUCUUAGCCAUCAGCUGAAACAAUUUGUCAUCGAUGGUAACAAAGUGGUACUUAGUGUUUCAAACGCGGACACAAAGGUGGAUGAUGCUGAAUUUGAAGAAAAUGAAGUGUAUGCAAUUGAUAUUGUCACCAGCACUGGCGAGGGAAAGCCGAAGCUACUGGAUGAGAAGCAGACCACUAUUUACAAGAGAGCUGUAGACAAGAACUAUCACUUGAAGAUGAAGGCAUCAAGGUUCAUCUUCAGUGAGAUUAGCCAGAAGUUCCCAAUCAUGCCAUUCACUGCUAGGGCGCUGGAGGAGAAGCGUGCACGCUUAGGUUUGGUAGAAUGCAUGAAUCAUGAGCUGUUGCAGCCAUACCCUGUUCUACAUGAGAAGCAAGGCGACCUGGUUGCCCACAUCAAGUUCACCGUGUUGUUGAUGCCAAAUGGGUCUGACAAGAUAACUUCACAUCCACUACAGCAACUGGAGCCCUCAAAAUCCAUCGAGGGCGAUGCUGAGAUUAAGGCUUGGCUUGCUUUGGGCACAAAGUCAAAGAAGAAGGGUGGUGGCAAGAAAAAGAAAGGCAAGAAAGGAGAUGCUGCAGAAGUAGCAGAGCCCAUGGAGGUUUCUAAGGACGCACCAAGCCAGGAAUAA
rnacentral:rRNA from 1 species